rnacentral:lncRNA from 1 species
AUGGAACCUUUUUUCACAUUCACUAGAUUCCCUGGAAUUUUCCAUCAAGCUCCCAAAAAGUUCAAGGCAUCAAAAGCUGGUUGAGUUCCCUGCCGUUAAUAGCCAGAGUGUGUCAUAUAUAUGCAGUGCUUCAAUUUCCUCCAAACACACUGUUCCCACCUCCCACCCGCCCGGACGCAACUGGACUUUUGUUCCUUGUUGAUGGUUCUUUGGAAGUUGACUAAUCGACACGAAAAACAAUCUGUACACUCAAAAGCUUCAAACUGGAGAUCUGUUUAUAUUUCCCAAGGGAUUAGUUCAUUAUCAGUAUAAUUCAGAUCCUCAAUUGCCAGCCACAGCCAUUGCAGCAUUCGGAAGUGCAAGUGCUAGAGCAGUUACAGUGCCACCAGCUGUUUUUACCACUGGAAUUGAUGAUGUGAUCUUGGCCAAAU